GCAAAUAAGUUAUUCAUUUAUUUCCACAAGAAUUAUAUUAUAAUAAUGAAGAUGAUCUUUUUUGAAAAGUUGCUCUAUUGGCUAUUGUAUGAUAAAGAAAUGGAUCCGUUGCCACUCUCAGUUAUUUUUUUGCUCUCUGUUCAGUUUUUUUUAGAGUCGCUGACAAGUACAUCUGUUUUCAGUUACCUUCCACAACUCGUUAAGUCACUCGGAGCAUCGGAAGAGAAUGCAGGUAGAGAUGCUAGUUGGAUAGCUUCUUCUUUAUUUAUUGCCAGAACAUGUUUUGGGU
rnacentral:lncRNA from 1 species